AGCGAACGCUGGCGGCAGGCUUAACACAUGCAAGUCGAGCGGGCACUUCGGUGUCAGCGGCAGACGGGUGAGUAACACGUGGGAACGUACCCUUCGGUUCGGAAUAACGCUGGGAAACUAGCGCUAAUACCGGAUACGCCCUUUUGGGGAAAGGUUUACUGCCGAAGGAUCGGCCCGCGUCUGAUUAGCUAGUUGGUGGGGUAAUGGCCUACCAAGGCGACGAUCAGUAGCUGGUCUGAGAGGAUGAUCAGCCACACUGGGACUGAGACACGGCCCAGACUCCUACGGGAGGCAGCAGUGGGGGAUAUUGGACAAUGGGCGCAAGCCUGAUCCAGCCAUGCCGCGUGAGUGAUGAAGGCCUUAGGGUUGUAAAGCUCUUUUGUCCGGGACGAUAAUGACGGUACCGGAAGAAUAAGCCCCGGCUAACUUCGUG
rnacentral:rRNA from 1 species